UACGUAGGGGUCGAGCGUUGUCCGGAGUUACUGGGCGUAAAGCGUGCGCAGGCGGCUCAUUGCGCUCGGCGUGAAAGCCCCCGGCUCAACCGGGGAGGGUCGUCGAGGACGGGUGAGCUUGAGGGUAUCAGGGGUUGGUGGAAUUCCCGGUGUAGUGGUGAAAUGCGUAGAGAUCGGGAGGAACACCCGUGGCGAAGGCGGCCAACUGGGAUACACCUGACGCUGAGGCACGAAGGCGUGGGGAGCGAAUGGG
rnacentral:rRNA from 1 species